GACAGAGGCCCCGAGCGUUAAUCGGAAUCACUGGGCUUAAAGGGUGCGUAGGCCGGCCCGCAAGUGCUUUGUGAAAUCCCAUGGCUCAACCAUGGAACAGCGGGGCAUACUGCGGGUCUGAGGAAGGUAGGGGUUGCCGGAACUGUAGGUGGAGCGGUGAAAUGCGUAGAUAUUGGGAGGAACACCAGAUGCGAAGGCGGGUCACUGGGCUGAUACUGACGCUGGAUGCGCGAAAGCCAGGGGAGCGAACGGG
rnacentral:rRNA from 1 species